AUAGAGGUUUAUAUAAUUAGAAAUGAGCAGGAGAACUGUAUAAAAAAAGGCCAUAAACUUUGUUGGGCUUUCAAAGUCAAACGACGACGCAUUAAAUGCCUGCCAAUCCAUAUUAUUAAGGCCCAUUAAAGUUUUUGGCCCAGAAGGUGUUGUUCUCUUUCUCUGCUGCACUCUGCUCUGUUCUGCUCUGUGCUCUCUGCCAUUCUCCCGCUUCAGACCUAAAGAUCGUCACUCACUGGCAUAUCCCAAUAGUCGCAGAUGAAUUGCAUAAGGAGCUCAAUCCUGCAACACUUGGGACUGAGAGUCUCUGUCAGACCCAUUUUGCAGCUUCAGAACAAUAAUGUUUUCAAGAGUAUUGGUAAUGGUUAUAUGAAUUUUACAGCAGGAGCUGUUGCAGAUGGAGGCCAAGAUCAAAUCUUGAUUAGGGUUAUUGAACUGGUGAAGAAAUAUGGCAAAACUAACUCCUCUUAAGGUUACUGAAAGGGCUGAUUUCCAGAAGGAUUUGUCGCUGGACAGCUUAGACAAGGUGGAACUGGUUAUGGCUAUUGAAGAAGAGUUCUCGAUUGAGAUCCCUGAAGAAAAAGCUGAUAAGCUUACUUGCUGUGGUGAUGUUGCUACAUACAUACUCUCGGAAACUCCCCCCAAAGCGUCUCAAUCCUGAGUUAUCUCUUUCUCUCAGUCUUGUCUUCAAUGUUUGCAAGUUUAAGAGACAUGCUUUGUGUUGUUAAUUCAGCAAAUUUUAUUUGGGUUAGUUCUGCUAAACAUUUCAUAUGAUAUAUGUUCUACAAUGUGAUCA